GACGAACGCUGGCGGCGUGCUUAACACAUGCAAGUCGAACGGAAAGGCCCUGCUUGCCGGGUACUCGAGUGGCGAACGGGCGAGUAACACGUGGGUGAUCUGCCCUGCACUUCGGGAUAAGCCUGGGAAACUGGGUCUAAUACCGGAUAGGAGCCAUUUUUAGUGUGAUGGUUGGAAAGUUUUUUCGGUGUAGGAUGAGCUCGCGGCCUAUCAGCUUGUUGGUGGGGUAAUGGCCUACCAAGGCGGCGACGGGUAGCCGGCCUGAGAGGGUGGACGGCCACAUUGGGACUGAGAUACGGCCCAGACUCCUACGGGAGGCAGCAGUGGGGAAUAUUGCACAAUGGGCGCAAGCCUGAUGCAGCGACGCCGCGUGGGGGAUGACGGCCUUCGGGUUGUAAACUCCUUUCGCUAGGGACGAAGCUUUUUGUGACGGUACCUAGAUAAGAAGCACCGGCUAACUACGUG
rnacentral:rRNA from 1 species